rnacentral:rRNA from 1 species
GACGAACGCUGGCGGCGUGCUUAACACAUGCAAGUCGAACGGACAGACCCUGCUUUUGUGGGUUGCUCGAGUGGCGAGCGGGUGAGUAACACGUGAGUAACCUGCCCUUGUCUUUGGGAUAACUUCAGGAAACUGGGGCUCAUACCGGAUAGGAGCUCCUGCUGCAUGGUGGGGGUUGGAGAGUUUCGGCGGUUGGGGCUGGACUCGCGGGUUAUCAGCUUGUUGGGGGGGUAGUGGAUUACAAAGCCUUUGAAGGGUAGCCGGCCUGAGAGGGUGACCGGCGACAUGGGGACUGCGGGACGGCCCAGAAUGCUACGGGAGGCAGCAGUGGGGAAUAUUGCAGAGUGGGCGGAAGCCUGAGGUAGCGACGCCGGGUGCGUGAUGACGUCCUUCGGGGUGUAAACAGAUGUCGCCUGUAACGAAGCGUUAGUGACGGUAAUGGGUAAAGAAGCACCGGCUAACUACGUG